rnacentral:rRNA from 1 species
AUACGGAGGGAGCAAGCGUUAUUCGGAAUCACUGGGCGUAAAGGACGCGUAGGCGGGUUUGUAAGUCAGGUGUGAAAUCCUACGGCUCAACUGUAGAACUGCACUUGAAACUACAGACCUAGAGUAUGGAAGGGGCAGAUGGAAUUAGUGGUGUAGGGGUAAAAUCCGUAGAUAUCACUAGGAAUACCGAAAGCGAAGGCGAUCUGCUGGGACAUUACUGACGCUGAGGCGUGAAAGCGUGGGGAGCAAACAGGAUUAGAAACCCCAGUAGUCC